CCUACGGGUGGCUGCAGUGGGGAAUAUUGGACAAUGGGCGAAAGCCUGAUCCAGCCAUGCCGCGUGUGUGAAGAAGGCCUUCGGGUUGUAAAGCACUUUCAGUGGGGAAGAAAGCCUUGGGGCUAAUACCCUCGAGGAAGGACAUCACCCACAGAAGAAGCACCGGCUAACUCCGUGCCAGCAGCCGCGGUAAUACGGAGGGUGCGAGCGUUAAUCGGAAUUACUGGGCGUAAAGCGCGCGUAGGCGGUCUGAUAAGCCGGUUGUGAAAGCCCCGGGCUCAACCUGGGAACGGCAUCCGGAACUGUCAGGCUAGAGUGCAGGAGAGGAAGGUAGAAGUCCCGGUGUAGCGGUGAAAUGCGUAGAGAUCGGGAGGAAUACCAGUGGCGAAGGCGGCCUUCUGGACUGACACUGACGCUGAGGUGCGAAAGCGUGGGUAGCAAACAGGAUUAGAUACCCUGGUAGUC
rnacentral:rRNA from 1 species